AAAACAACAACAAGACACAGCGUGGAGGAGACGACUGCGAGCAAGACAUUUACAAACUAACUUAUCGAUCCAGUGUGUGGAAAUAUUUUAGCUUUUGCAAACACGGAGGUGUUCUAAAUAAGUCGGUCGCUGUUUGUAGAAUAUGUUGAAGCCAAAUAAAAAACACGGAAACACGACAAAUCUUUCCAACCAUCUACUAAGGCGCCGUGGGAUCAAGCAACGCCGACAGUCCAGGACCUCUAGCAGCGUUACCGCUGCAGCAGCAGCAGAAGCCUUCUGCAACUCAGUUGAUACCUACACCCCAAACAGCAAUUGGUCUCUGUGAGUGAACUCGCCAAUCCGAUUCAAAGCCUGCCACACAAUGGGAACAUGAGCUUGUCAUGACAUCUGUACGGUUGGAACGGCGAAAAUCCUGGAUCCCCUUAAACAAUGGUAUUUGAACCUUUGUCAUAAUUCACCCCCAUUUGCGAAACUAUUAGUGAG
ensembl:lncRNA